GCAACCAUGACUUUGGUCUCCAUCUUCAUCUGGACUCUCACCCUCUGGACUCAAGGGUCAUUUGGAGACAUAAUUAUGACUCAGACUCCAGGAUCUCAGACUGUUUCACCAGGAGACUCUGUUACUAUCAGCUGCAGAUCCAGUCAGAGCAUCAGCAACUCUCUCCACUGGUAUCUGCAGAAACCUGGAGAAGCUCCUAAACUCCUGAUCUAUGGUGCUACUACCCGUCAGUCUGGUGUUCCAGAUCGUUUCAGUGGGAGUGGAUCUGGAUCUGAUUAUUCUCUAAAGAUCAGUGGAGUUCAGUCUGAAGAUGCAGGAGAUUAUUACUGUCAGCAGUAUCAGAGCUUCCCGCUCACACAGUGUUAGAGCGCAAUACAAAAACCUCCCUCAGCUGUAGAGGAACUGCUCUGACUCAGAAACUCUCACUGAUCUGAGAACAGCUGCUAAAGCUGCACUCAGCUGAACUCAUCAACUCCAAAACACUACAGUAGUGCGCACUGUUCUCUCUUUAGGGGGUUCUCCUGACUGUGGAACAGGAUCUUCAGCAGGAGAUGGAACAUCUCACAAAACACACUCAGCACAUCUUUUCUAAAGAUUACCCUCAAAUAUCUACAAACUCAUGGAUAUUAUUAGUUCUACUUAAAAGUAGUGAAGAGACAAAAAUCUCCCACAGAUUGUCGCU